AUUGAACGCUGGCGGCAUGCCUUACACAUGCAAGUCGAACGGUAACAGGUCUUCGGAUGCUGACGAGUGGCGAACGGGUGAGUAAUACAUCGGAACGUGCCUAGUAGUGGGGGAUAACUACUCGAAAGAGUGGCUAAUACCGCAUGAGAUUUACGGCUGAAAGCAGGGGAUCGCAAGACCUUGUGCUACUAGAGCGGCCGAUGGCAGAUUAGGUAGUUGGUGGGAUAAAAGCUUACCAAGCCGACGAUCUGUAGCUGGUCUGAGAGGACGAUCAGCCACACUGGGACUGAGACACGGCCCAGACUCCUACGGGAGGCAGCAGUGGGGAAUUUUGGACAAUGGGCGCAAGCCUGAUCCAGCAAUGCCGCGUGCAGGAUGAAGGCCUUCGGGUUGUAAACUGCUUUUGUACGGAACGAAAAGCCCUGGGUUAAUACCCUGGGGUCAUGACGGUACCGUAAGAAUAAGCACCGGCUAACUACGUGCCAGCAGCCGCAGUAACAC
rnacentral:rRNA from 1 species